rnacentral:lncRNA from 1 species
AUGAUUUUGGUGAUCAGAACCGUGUUUAUAGAGCUGCCCUCAGGAAAAGGGUCAGUGGAGAAGUUCCAGCUUUGUUCAGACCAGCUGAGUGUUGACAUCAUCUCCUGGGGCUACAGAAUCACUGCUCUGCUGGUCAAAGACAGGCAGGGGAAAGCUUCAGAUGUGGUUCUUGCCUUUGGCAAGUUGGUGGUUACCUCCAGAAGGAACCCGACUUUAGAGCAGUGGUUGGGAGUGUAGCCAACCAAAUUGCCAAAUUAAUAUUCACUGUAGGUGGGAAGGAGUACUACGUGCACAUUAACAGAGAGCCCAACAGUCUCCAUGGAGCAUUCACUCUGGACCCCUCAGGUGUUGUCCAAUGGCUUCCAGUUCUCUCAAGUUAGUCCAGAUGGUGAGGAAAGCUACCCUGGAGAGUUGAAAGUCUGGAUGACAUAUACCCUGGUUAGUGUAGAGCUUGUAAUCAACUACAGAGCACAGGCCAGCUUCAGUUUAACCUGACCAACCAUUCUUAUUUCAGCCUAGCAGGCCAGGGCUCCCCAAAUAUAUAUGACCAUUCUAGUAGGUGCAUAUUUGUCUGUGGAUGAAACUCUAAUUCCAAAAGGAGUCAUUGCUCCAGUGGAAGGAACUGUCUUCAACCUAAGAAAGCCAGUGAAGCUUGGAAAGUACCUGCAGGUUUACCACAUUCAUGGUUUUGACCAAAAUUUUUGUCUGAAGGAGUCAAAAGAAAAGAAAUUUUGUGCAAAGGUGCAUCACGCUGCAAGUGGGAGGAUCCUGGAAGUAUAUACCAACUAACCUGGCAUCCCGCUUUAGAUAGGAUACUUCUUGGGUGGUACUCUGAAAGGCAAGAAGCAAGCGGUCUAGCCCAAGCACUCCGAUUUCUGCCUUGAGACCCAGAACUGGCCUGAUGCUGUUAAUCAGCCCCAGUUCCCUCAGGUGCUGCUGAGGCCUGGAGAGGUGUGCAACCACACCUCCUGGUUCAAGUUCUCUGUUGCU